UAGGGAAUAUUGCAAAAUGGGCGAAAGCCCGAUGCAGCAACGCCGCGUGGGCGAUGAAGGCCUUCGGGUCGUAAAGCCCUUUUUGAGGGGAUGAGGAAGGACAGUACCCUCAGAAUAAGCCUCGGCUAACUACGUGCCAGCAGCCGCGGUAAAACGUAGGAGGCGAGCGUUAUCCGGAUUUACUGGGCGUAAAGCGCGUGCAGGCGGAUUGGAGAGUUGGAUGUGAAAGCUCCCGGCUUAACUGGGAGGGUGCGCCGAAGACUGGGAAGCUGGAGUGUGGGAAAGGCAGGCGGAAUUCCUGGUGUAGCGGUGAAAUGCGUAGAUAUCAGGAGGAACACCGGCGGUGUAGACGGCUUGCUAGACCAUAACUGACGCUGAGGCACGAAAGCGUGGGUAGCAAACA
rnacentral:rRNA from 1 species